UCUGCUCUAUCGAUGAGAUACUUUUAUACUUAACAAAGUGUGCUCAAAGUGUGUCUGCCAUAUUCUUUCAUAAACACACACCCAUACUUGUAUAUUUGUAAUGAGCACAUAUUUGCACUCAGCUCUCAUUAUGUAUGGAGAGACAGAAAAAGAGAGAGCGGCCAAUUAUUGAGUGGUUUCUGGCCCUGUGUCAUUAGUGCCUUGGCAUACGACAAUCACAUGUAUCUGUGAGUUACUUUAUAUGGGCAAAUUAUCGGGCCUUAAAAACUGAAAAUCCACAUGCGCCAUGAGGUCCAAAGAGCAUUGUCUUGGCGGACAGACAUAAAAUACCACACCAAGAGUAGGCAAGCGAGAGCAAGCAAUACAAAAUAUCUACCAGCUAACAAGAAAGAAAAGAAGAAAAAAACUACCUGCCAGUCAAACAAAUAGCGACAUAUGGUUUUAAUGAGUAUAUGCUCACAAAUGCCACUAGCAGAAGAAGAGAGCCAAAACUGGCAUGCAAUGUACAGGUAGAUACCUGAAAAAGGGCUCUGGCUAAGCAUAGCAGAGAUUUGUGAAAGAUGGAACAAACCAACAACAAAACAUCACACUAGAAAUGAGAACAAUUUUCUAACAAAAAAACUCAUAGCAAAAUUUUGAAUAUUCAGAUUUAAGUUAAGUCAACAAACAGAUGAGGAGAAGGCAAACAAUGGGAAUUAGUCAGAUUUAAAUACAAAUGUAUUCACACAUACAACACUACACAACGUCAGCACUCUCUAUACAUCUUCAUAAUUAUUAGUCGUUUUCGUCGUCGUCGUCAUCCGAACAAAUAAACCUCGUCACAUAAAACUAA